CUUACAUCAUUUAUGAAUCUGUCCUUAGAAUUUCUUGGGUUACAGCAUCUUGCAAUAUCUUGAGAAUGACUCACACCCAGUUGAUUUAAUCCGGGAUCUCCAGACCUAUCUCUGAAAGUCGCAGAGGCACUUAGCAUCUUUCCAGGAAGAUAAAGGGUUUUGAUGCCUAACAGAAGGAGAACAAAAGAAAAAUUACCAACCAGGUACUCAGCACACUGCUGUGCUCUAGUAAAAAUGUCUGCCUGAAGAUUUAUUAACAGGAUAUUUUCUCAGGGAUACCUCAGGACAUGCACAAGAACAUAUGCUGCAAUCAUUUAUGGGAAGCACACUUGGCUUAAAAAAUAAAACUGUUUAGUUGUGAA